GAAGCGGUCAUUUAAAACCGCCGUCGCUGCAAUCCCUACAUUCACAUAUCAGCGGUGAAACACAACCGCCUUUGAAGCACAAAUCCAACGGCGGCCAUCACGCUCGUUCCACGGCGGUUCAUGAAUUCGCGCCAUUACUUGCUCAGACCGCCUAAUUUCUCUUUCCUUCGCACUUCUCGCUACCUCCACUACCUACUACUAUCUGCCAUGACCCUAAUUUUUCAUUCUUCCUAAACUUAGCGCACCCAGAACCCCAAGUGCAGUGAAAAGAAAAUCUUCGUUCAAAACGAAAGUCUGCAACGAAUCAUUGAUUAGCAAAACUAUACGCAUUUGUUCUUGUCCCUGUUGUUUCUCCUUCUUGUUCAUCGCUCUGAACGCACGAAUUUCUCUCCUGGAAGUGCAAAUUUCUGCUAUUUAAGGUUACUCUAUCUCUUUCUCUACUAUUAGGAAUUUAGGUGUUUAUUGGAUAUAAAUUGUAAAGAGAAAUUCAUACUUUCUUUUUUCGGUAUUAGAAUGAAUUCGUACUUAUUACUUAAUUAAUUAAAAGACAAUCUAGCUUGAAACUAAUAAUGGGAAAUUGUCUGAUGAAGUAGUGCGCUUCAAGAACAAUUUAUGUGAUUUGAUUUGUAUUCAAUCAGUCUAAUUUCAUUGAUGGAUUCAUCAUUGGGAUCGGAGUUGCAUAUUUGAUCAUAUUUUCUGUUUAAAUUAUUUCUCAAUUGAGGUCUAAAUUAUGAAGUAAAAUGAGCAACUAAGAGAAGAAGGGAGGGUGUGUUUGUUUAUUUGUGAGAAAAGUAAAAAUUCUGCAGAGAACAAUAAUCAUGACAAAUAAAAAAAGAAGCAAAAUCUGAGAUACAAAACACAAGAAGAAAUAGACCCAAAACUGAUUGCAGGUAGAAUCUGACUACAAUGGAAUAAUAAAACUCCAAAGAAACCACCACGCAUGCAUAUCAGAGAGGUAUUUGAAGUGUUUGAUUAAUUGGGUUUUGCAAGUUUUAAUCUAAAAUAGUUAUUCUUUCUGGUCUAUAUUCUUAGCAAAGGGAGCCAAAUUGAGUCAAGACCAACUUUGGCAUAGGUAAUAAUUAUUAGUAUUUUUAGAUUUGUCAAAUUUUGUUGAUGAAUAUUGAUAAUUAAAGUUAGCAAAAUUGGAUUAUUUAUUUUAUUAUGAAUGCUAGCCCUGUUUGGUAUUGAUGUAUUCAUACUUCUAUAGUCAAAUAGCUACUGCCAAGUGCCAAUACUAUCCCUUUGUGUUUGUCUCAUCUAUACUUGGUAAAACUUUGGUAAAUUAAAGCUGUAUUAUAAUGUAUCUAUAUUC